CCUACGGGAGGCAGCAGUCGGGAAUAUUGCGCAAUGGAGGAAACUCUGACGCAGUGACGCCGCGUGCAGGAAGAAGGUUUUCGGAUUGUAAACUGCUUUAGACAGGGAAGAAAAAAGACAGUACCUGUAGAAUAAGCUCCGGCUAACUACGUGCCAGCAGCCGCGGUAAUACGUAGGGAGCAAGCGUUAUCCGGAUUUAUUGGGUGUAAAGGGUGAGUAGGCGGCAUGGUAAGCCAGAUGUGAAAGCCUUGGGCUUAACCCGAGGAUUGCAUUUGGAACUAUCAAGCUAGAGUACAGGAGAGGAAAGCGGAAUUCCUAGUGUAGCGGUGAAAUGCGUAGAUAUUAGGAAGAACACCAGUGGCGAAGGCGGCUUUCUGGACUGAAACUGACGCUGAGGCACGAAAGCGUGGGGAGCGAACAGGAUUAGAUACCCGUGUAGUC
rnacentral:rRNA from 1 species